rnacentral:rRNA from 1 species
AUGGGCGCAGCCUGAUGCAGCCAUGCCGCGUGUAUGAAGAAGGCCUUCGGGUUGUAAAGUACUUUCAGCAGUGAGGAAGGCGGGUGUGUUAAUAGCACAUUCGUUUGACGUUAGCUGCAGAAGAAGCACCGGCUAACUCCGUGCCAGCAGCCGCGGUAAUACGGAGGGUGCGAGCGUUAAUCGGAAUUACUGGGCGUAAAGCGCAUGCAGGUGGUUUGUUAAGUCAGAUGUGAAAGCCCGGGGCUCAACCUCGGAAUUGCAUUUGAAACUGGCAGGCUAGAGUACUGUAGAGGGGGGUAGAAUUUCAGGUGUAGCGGUGAAAUGCGUAGAGAUCUGAAGGAAUACCGGUGGCGAAGGCGGCCCCCUGGACAGAUACUGACACUCAGAUGCGAAAGCGUGGGGAGCAAACAGGAUUAGAUACCCUGGUAGUCCACGCCGUCAACGAUGUCUACUUGGAGGUUGUGGCCUUGAGCCGUGGCUUUCGGAGCUAACGCGUUAAGUAGACCGCCUGGGGAGUACGGUCGCAAGAUUAAAACUCAAAUGAAUUGACGGGGGCCCGCACAAGCGGUGGAGCAUGUGGUUUAAUUCGAUGCAACGCGAAAAACCUUACCUACUCUUGACAUCCACAGAAAUUAGCAAAUAUGCUUUGGUGCCUUCGGGAACUGUGAGACAGGUGCUGCGUGGCUGUCGUCAGCUCGUGUCGUGAAUGUAGGUUAAGUCCCGAAACGAGCGCAUGCCUGCUCCUUGUU